rnacentral:rRNA from 1 species
UACGAGAGGCCCAAACGUUAUUCGGAUUUACUGGGCUUAAAGAGUUCGUAGGCGGUCUAGCAAGUGAGGUGUGAAAGCCCUCGGCUCAACCGAGGAAUUGCGCUUCAAACUGCUAGGCUCGAGGGAGAUAGAGGUGAACGGAACUGAUGGUGGAGCGGUGAAAUGCGUUGAUAUCAUCAGGAACACCAGAGGCGAAGGCGGCUCACUGGGUCUUUUCUGACGCUGAGGAACGAAAGCUAGGGGAGCAAACGGG